GUGCUGCGGAGGUGUCAUGAUACCAUUGCAAACCAGAAAGGCAGUGCUAAUGUGGGGCCUGUUCCAGAAGGAGAUAGCCCGUCACUUCCCAAGGAUCCUGUUAUUUUAUCUGGUUUAAGAAAUUCAUUUACUUAUGAACAAUUACUUUGUUCAACUGGUGAAUUUGGCAGUGAAUUUGAUGAUGCAAAUCUUAUCAAGUCUGGCCACUCUGGAGAUCUCUUUCGGGGUUUUCUAGAUGGAGGAAGCCCCGUAGUUGUAA
rnacentral:misc_RNA from 1 species